GAUGAACGCUGGCGGCGUGCCUAAUACAUGCAAGUCGAGCGAACAGACGAGGAGCUUGCUCCUCUGACGUUAGCGGCGGACGAGUGAGUAACACGUGGAUAACCUACCUAUAAGACUGGGAUAACUUCGGGAAACCGGAGCUAAUACCGGAUAAUAUAUUGAACCGCAUGGUUCAAUAGUGAAAGACGGUUUUGCUGUCACUUAUAGAUGGAUCCGCGCCGCAUUAGCUAGUUGGUAAGGUAACGGCUUACCAAGGCAACGAUGCGUAGCCGACCUGAGAGGGUGAGCGGCCACACUGGAACUGAGACACGGUCCAGACUCCUACGGGAGGCAGCAGUAGGGAAUCUUCCGCAAUGGGCGAAAGCCUGACGGAGCAACGCCGCGUGAGUGAUGAAGGUCUUCGGAUCGUAAAACUCUGUUAUUAGGGAAGAACAAAUGUGUAAGUAACCAUGCACGUCUUGACGGUACCUAAUCAGAAAGCAACGGCUAACUACGUG
rnacentral:rRNA from 1 species